rnacentral:rRNA from 1 species
UACGUAGGGUGCAAGCGUUAAUCGGAAUUACUGGGCGUAAAGCGUGCGCAGGCGGUGAUGUAAGACAGAUGUGAAAUCCCCGGGCUCAACCUGGGAACUGCAUUUGUGACUGCAUCGCUGGAGUGCGGCAGAGGGGGAUGGAAUUCCGCGUGUAGCAGUGAAAUGCGUAGAUAUGCGGAGGAACACCGAUGGCGAGGCAAUCCCCUGGGCCUGCACUGACGCUCAUGCACGAAAGCGUGGGGAGCAAACAGG